rnacentral:misc_RNA from 1 species
GAAAUGCGAUAAGUAAUGUGAAUUGCAGAAUUCAGUGAAUCAUCGAAUCUUUGAACGCACAUUGCGCCCGGCAGUAUUCUGCCGGGCAUGCCUGUCCGAGCGUCAUUUCAACCCUCGGGACCCCGUUUCGGCGGGGACCCGGUGGUGGGGAGCGGCCGCCGCGCUCCUUUGCCGGCGGCCGGCCCCGAAACGAAGUGGCGGUCUCGCCGCGGACUCCUCUGCGCAGUAGCACAUACCUCGCAGGCGGAGAGCGGUGCGGCCACGCCGUAAAACCCCCGACCUCAUCAAGGUUGACCUCGGAUCAGGUAGGAAUACCCGCUGAACUUAA